GACGAACGCUGGCGGCGUGCUUAACACAUGCAAGUCGAACGGAAAGGCCCUGCUUUUGUGGGGUGCUCGAGUGGCGAACGGGUGAGUAACACGUGAGUAACCUGCCCUUGACUUUGGGAUAACUUCAGGAAACUGGGGCUAAUACCGGAUAGGAGCUCCUGCUGCAUGGUGGGGGUUGGAAAGUUUCUGCGGUUGGGGAUGGACGCGCGGCUUAUCAGCUUGUUGGUGGGGUAAUGGCUUACCAAGGCUUUGACGGGUAGCCGGCCUGAGAGGGUGACCGGCCACAUUGGGACUGAGAUACGGCCCAGACUCCUACGGGAGGCAGCAGUGGGGAAUAUUGCACAAUGGGCGGAAGCCUGAUGCAGCGACGCCGCGUGCGGGAUGACGGCCUUCGGGUUGUAAACCUCUUUCGCCUGUGACGAAGCGUGAGUGACGGUAAUUGGUAAAGAAGCACCGGCUAACUACGUG
rnacentral:rRNA from 1 species